UCCCUGGUGGUUCAGUGGCUAAGACUCCGCUCUCCCAAUGCAGGGGGCCUGGGUUCGAUCCCUGGUCAGGGAA
rnacentral:tRNA from 1 species